rnacentral:sRNA from 1 species
AAAAAGGCAGAGUUAAGUAAAAAAUAAAAUUAUUGUUUAUUGAUAAUUAUUAAAUUUGUUUCAUUUUUAUUUGCUCCUAAUGAAAAUGCAAGGCAGCAGCUAGGGUUCAGGUACAGAAAACUCGCCAAAUGAAGUUGUAAUUUUACCUCAAGUCGGCUGUUUUACAUUAGAAGACACCAAGAAGUGUUUUUAUGGAAUCAUAUUCAUCAAAGAGAUACAAUGAAACCAACACCGUUCUUUUGAAUUUUUUAAGGAGGGAAGAUGCUGCGUAUUAAGUGCGUCUGGCUAGACAGAAAAAAGUUAGGCACAGAGUGACAAAAUAGUCUGUCAAUUGUGAACGAAUACAGAUAUCUUCUAUGAAAACACAGUGUCCGGAGCCGCCACUUGAUCAAAUAGAAUGCUCCCUUAGCUUCACAUUAGUGGUCGCAGCAAUUUGUCUAGCCGCAAUAUCCAGAAGCAUUAGGUCGUUAGUUCAAUGUUCCUUGUCAGUACACCAUGCGUCUUGGCUACUGAUGAAAAAA